rnacentral:rRNA from 1 species
UACGUAGGGUGCAAGCGUUAAUCGGAAUUACUGGGCGUAAAGCGCGCGUAGGCGGCUUUGCAAGUCGGGUGUGAAAUCCCCAGGCUUAACCUGGGAACUGCAUUCGAGACUGCAUUGCUAGAGUAUGGGAGAGGGAAGUGGAAUUCCGGUGUAGCGGUGAAAUGCGUAGAUAUCGGAAGGAACAUCAGUGGCGAAAGCGACUUCCUGGACCAAUACUGACGCUCAUGUGCGAAAGCGUGGGGAGCAAACAGG